AAGUAGAAGGUGCAAUCAGAA
rnacentral:misc_RNA from 1 species